UGAGCAAUCUGCCCUUCUCUUUGGAAUAAGCGUUGGAAACGACGUCUAAUGCCGAAUAUGACCUCCUUUCGCAUGAUCGGAGGUGGAAAGCUCCGGCGGAGAAGGAUGAGCUCGCGGCCUAUCAGCUAGUUGGUGUGGGUAAUGGCCCACCAAGGCGACGACGGGUAGCCGGCCUGAGAGGGUGACCGGCCACACUGGGACUGAGACACGGCCCAGACCUCCGUACGGGAGCAG
rnacentral:rRNA from 1 species